UAGCCACGGGAAUACCAGCCCCGCGAGUGGUCGGGACGGUUAUUGGGCCUAAAGCGCCCGUAGCCGGCCCGGUAAGUCCCCCUGAAAGCCCCGGGCUCAACCUGGGGAGCGGGGGAUACUGCCGGGCUAGGGGGCGGGAGAGGCCGAGGGUACUCCCGGGGUAGGGGCGAAAUCCAAUAAUCCCGGGAGGACCACCAGUGGCGAAGGC
rnacentral:rRNA from 1 species